UAUAUUGGCAUGAUAACCUUGGCUGGUUA
rnacentral:piRNA from 1 species